AAACAAGAAAGGAAGGGGCACCAAAACCCUAGAGAUUGCAUCAGCCCCCUUUUUAGAGGAAAGGAGAUGAACUCGUUCCUGGAAAUCAUGGUUAAAAUUACAUCUCUCGGGUGAAUCGCAUGUGACACUGGAGAACCUUGCAAUUUGCUCGCGGUGCCUGAAACCCAUAGUGGGUGUGUGCAUAUCUCUUCUACCCCCGUCAUUAAUACUGUUUCUAGCACCAUGUAGUGAUCUCUCAAUGAUUAUUGAAGUCAGAUAAGGAUUUGGCCACCCCUUUACCUGAAUGAACUAAACCGGUUGCAGGUCCAUCGCCUCAUGCGACGAGGCUUGAGUCACUAUCGGCAGUGAUUAGUAAAGUUGGAGCAGGUUGAUACCUCUCUUUAUUUUUUGUUUACAGAUUACUAAAUGGGAUAUUGAAUCUUUGAUGGUAGAUUGUGGUUUUAAUUGAUAAGUUAAGGGAAUGAAUUUGAUUACUAAUUUAAUGUAUUGACUAAGUUCCUAUAAUACCUUUGUUUAGUUAUCAGGAUGAAUAUGUAUGAAAAUGAAGGAUGGAGA
rnacentral:lncRNA from 1 species